rnacentral:lncRNA from 10 species
GGCGCAGGCGCGGGGCGGUGCACAGCGCGGGCGCAGGCGCCGAGAGGCGCACGGGAGACCUCAGGCCCAGACUCCACUCCCCAGCUGUGAAAGGACUGCUGGCCAGACCCCCAAGCUAGCCCGCCAGGCCUCCAUAGAGCUGCCCAGCAUGGCUGCGUCCAGUACCAAGAGUUGGUGGGAGACGGGUGAAGUACAGGCUCAGUCUGCGGCCAAGACUCCAUCCUGCAAGGAUAUUGUGGCUGGAGACAUGAGCAAGAAAAGCCUCUGGGAGCAGAAGGGAGGCUCCAAGACCUCAUCAACAAUUAAGAGCCAGCUCAAUCACUUCUCCAGAAAGACUUACUGAGUCCUCUGCACUGAACAGGUGUCCUAUGCUCCAGGAGAGCCCUGGGCUGGCUCCUAGUGCAGCCGUUAUGACCCUGGAAUGCACCAUCUUUCACAUCACUGCCUGGCCUUCUAGAAUCUCAGCUUCUUAAAUCAAGAAAUUGUGUCUUGUUCAUGUCUGAAUUCCCCAAGUGAACACAGUGAGUGGGUGCUUGACAAAUCACUCUUUGGCAGUUGCACUGGGUACUGGCUGAGUUCUGGAAAACAGGAAUGUGAAGGAGCACCUAAGAACUGGCAUGACUCUACACCCUCUCUCCUUCUGCAAUGACCUCGUGUCAAGAUGGCAGACCUGCAGAGAUGAAUGUGCCUGGAUACCUGAGUCACCAGGUGGAGGAAACUCCCAUUGACAUGCAUCACACUCCACAAGGAAGGAGUGAUUGGCUGCUGGUCCUGCCCUGUCCGAGGAGGAGGACGGAACCCACCCACCAAGCUGUGGAGAGGUGGACCCCACAAAUCCCCUCGCAAGCCACGUCUGAGAGCGAGCAGAGGGAAGAAACUCAAGCGUUUGUAGUCCUCUUUCUUAACAACAAGGCUUAAAGCGCCAUCUUGUGUCUUGAAGGCAGAAGGAGGUCAGGAUGUGUGUGCUAGAAGCAGGCAGAGGAUCUUCACCAAUGUCUCAAAAACUAGAGAAGGAAACAUGGCGAUCCUCAAGGCCUGCGGCGGCCCCAGCCCUUCCCGCACCCUGCGAUAGUCUGGUGUUGGGAGGGUGGCCCACGUGUCCAAGCAACCACAUCAGGGAGGUUCUGGGAGAGGAGAAGGCAAAGCUCCUGCCCUCAUGAGGCAGGCAGUCCCAUCCAGGACUGGACUGGAUGAGCACCAAUAAAUAAGAAAACACAGCUGGCAGCUGACUGUGAAGGGUCUGGACAGGGUGCCGAAGUGAAGCGUAAUGAGCUGGAUAGUGAGGACCUCACUACAGAGGGACAUCUAUCUACACACAGCCUGAAGGGUGAGAAAGAUGGAUCCUUGCCCUGAGCCAGAAGUGCACACCCCAGAGAGAGCAGCUCCUGCAGAGGUCCUGUGGGGCAGGCAUGGUAGGAAUAUUAAAGAGAAGAAGCCAGGUGUGGCUGCAGCCAUGCAGGAGGAAGGGCGAUGGGGUUGGGGAGGCAGAGGAUGGGAUUGGCAUGAGAAGAUGGAGAUGCAGAGCCCAGAUCGUGAUAGCCCCAAUAGUCCACGGGUAGGAGUUUGUAUUUUCUACUAAAAGCAAUGGGAGGGCGGGGCGCGGUAGCUCAUGCCUAUAAUUCCAGCACUUUGGGAGGCCGAGGCGGGUGGAUCACCUGAGGUCAGGAGUUCGAGAACAGCCUGACCAACAUGGUGAAACCCCAUCUUUACUAAAAAUACAAAAAUUAGACAAGUGUUAUGGCGCGCGCCUGUAAUCCCAGCUACUCAGGAGGCUGAGGCAGGAGAAUCGCUUGAACCCAGGAGGCGGAGGUUGCAGUGAGCUGAGAUCAUGCCAUUGCACUCCAGCCUGGGUGACAAGAGCGAAACUCUGCCUCAAAAAAAGGGAGGGGGGGCAAUGGGAAACCAUUGAAUCGUUUUUAGCAGGUGGUCUGAUUUGAUUUACAUUUUUUAGACAUGUAGCUUCACUAUCAUGGUUAUGGUGGUCCGUGCAUUACUAACAUUGCUAAAACCACCAUCAUGCCAGAAUUACCCUUCCAUUUGUGGGUUAAAACACUGCACCCAUCUGUCCCUCCCCAGAGUCCUCUUAGUGGCUGCUCUUAGGAGGAACUAACAUGGACUACAUUCCCCCAUCACACCCAGCACAAGUGCCCUCCCAGCCUCCCCCACCCAACUCAGUCCCAUUCACACGUGGCAUGCCAGGGACUCUCCCAUCAGGGGAACACCCUGUAACUCCCAAGUUCCUCCAAAGCCUCUUGAGAGGGACCAUGGUGCCCUGCAGGGAGUGGGUCCUGGUGGGUCCAGUGGAGGGAACGUCCUUGCUGAAACUGGCUGGGUCUUAGCCGGGAAGUGGUGACAGGUAUCUCUCACAUACGCUACGGGAACCCAGCGCAGCCAAUGGAGUCCAAUCAGCACACCUUGCGCCCACCCCUUCGUUUGGUAACUUGAGGCCACUGCCCACCCACCAGGUACCAUCUCUCAAGCGUGCCCUGAAGUUCAGGGAAAGACGCCAGCGCCCCCUGCUGGUUGCGCUCUCCCAUAGCAGGGCUCACAUUUUGGGAGAAAGAAAUCAGCUGUUAGCAGCUUUUGUUCUUCACCAUGUUAAGCAAAGCACAACAUUUUAUAACUGGGUGAAAAGCCAGAUAUUCUGUCAGCUGAUUUGAUUGUUCUGUACGCAUAUCCCUAAGCCAUUGUUUGACGGAUAUUUGUACUGAGUUGACUUUCUUCAUAAGAUGAUAGGACUAAUGAAGAGAAAAGGCAAUGGAGUUUUUAAAACCAGCGUGAUGAACCAAAUGCUGCCACUGACUAGCUAUGUACAUGUAAUCCAAAGGUUCCCUCCGUUGAAACAAAAUAACAGUGCUUACCUAACCAGGUCAGCUGUGAGCUGGGACUUCACAGACAGGCAUAGAGAGACAUGGAUGCAGGAAGGGCUUCCUUAGCUGAGAGGGUCGUGAAACUGGAAGGUAGUAGCAAGCAUUUUCCAGUUGGAUCUUUUGGCCGACAUUUGUAGUGGGGAGACAAACAUGUCUAAUUUUCCCCCCACCCUGGCACAUGGGCAGGUAGGAAGAUGCUGGUGGGUUUGGUUCGACAGUUUGGAGAAUGUCUUGUGGAAGGGGUGCUUUUUUUAAUGCACACUCAGGCACCAUGGGAGCCUGUUGUCACCCUGGAUAUCUAGCUCCAUGCCCUUGCCCUUCCACUCUGCCUCGACAAGAAUCAUGGCACCCAAAAUACAUGAGUUCAAAUCUAAGUUUCACAGGCUCAGGGAUGAACCCAAGCUACCAAAUGCACAGGCCCCUCCUGUAUACGGUUACAGCAGGUAAGGGAGUAACUUACUCAGUGCAAGCUGCUGUAACAAAAUAGCACAAGCUGGGUGGCUAAUCAACAACAGGCAUUUAUUUCUCACAGGUCUGGAGGCUGGAAGCCCAAGAUCAGGGUGCCAGUGCUGGCAUGGUCGGGUUCUGGUGAGGGCCCUCUUCCAGGUCACAGACAGCUGUCUUCUCAUUGCAUCCUCACAUGACAGAAAAGAAGUGCACAAGCUCUCUGGCCCCCUCUUACAGGCGCUAAUCCCAUUCACAAGGGUCCUACCGUCAUGACCUCAUUACCUCCCAAAGACCCCACCUCCAAAUACCACCACAUUGCCAUUAAGCUUCAACAUAUGAAUUUAAGGGGGAAACAAACAUCCAGUCCAUUGCAGAUUGUCCUGAUAAUAUGUGUGCCCAGGGCAUUGCCCCCACAGCAAAGAGAGACAUUGGAAGGCAAACCAAUGUCAGGUUUCCUAAUGUGCACGGAGUCAUCCCUGGAAGAGUGAGUCCGGUGAUCUUACCAGCUAAUUGCAUUGAGCUACCCCACCUUGGGGAUCUACCUGCCAAGGAGAACAGAACACCACUGGCUUUGACACCCAUCUCUCAACAAUGAUGGAAGAAUGCUGGAAAUUUACCUGCUCUGGUAGCUCUGUCUAAGUUCAUCUUCCUUGUAUGGACUUUCUUUUUUUAUUGCUCAGAUGGACUCUGUGACUACAUGACUAAUAAAAUAUGGCAGAAAUGACACCAUGCAGUUUCCAAGCCCAGGCCUUAGGAGACAGGCAGCUUCCAGUUCAGUCUUUUGGAGGGUCAGCUCUGGGGCCCUCAGCCAUCACGCAUGGAGUCCAACCACCCUGAGACGUCAUGCUGGAGACCCACCUGUGGAUGCCCCAGUCAAGAGUCCUGGCUGAGCCCAGCCUCCCAGCCACCCCCACCCAAGGCAUCAGACCACGAAGCUUCUGGCCAAGGCUUCACCAACUUCACUUGAUGCUGUGAGGAACAGAACUGCCCAUCCAAGCCCUGCCAGAAUUUCUAACCCACAAAGCCAUGAGUCACAAUAAAUGCCAUGGGACAAAAACAGUCAUGCAUGUUGCUUUUGUCAUACAUUAGUGGUAGUUCAUCGCACGGCAAUAGAAAACCAAAAUACCUGUCUACUGGGUUCGUCCAUUUGGAUGCCACAGAGGCACCUGAAACAGAACACGUUCAUUACUUAACUCUGGUUCUUCCUUCCACACUGACCUCCACCCACUGCUCCCAAGGUUGCCCCUCCUCCAGAGUCCUCCAUCUCCAACAUAGUAUCACCAUCUCCCCAGGAACUCAAGUGUGAAGGCAGGGGUCAUGUUUGGCAUCUGUCACCCUUUGCGAGUUGCAACCUGGAGACCCUGGAGGGUGUUAUGAUGAGUGAAAUAACCUAAUCACAAAAGGACUAAUACUCCAUGUGAUGCCUGGUGCAGCUGCAGCCAUCUCAUGACCAUGUCGCAACAAACACCACACGACCCAAGUGACAAGAUGAACAGUGCCUGGAUGCCUGAUGACACGGUUCAGCUGCCAGGCCAACCCCAA